GAAGCGCGAGAUUCGAACAUACAAAUUGUUGUUGGAAUGCGUACAUUUUAAUUUGAGAAAUUACAUUAAUCAGAGAAAAGAUUGGAAAGAUAUCGACUGUGCUCAUAAUUGAUGUCGAUAGUACUUGACAAAAUGACAGAGUUAACUUACUUUAUUACUUUUAAUUAUCCUCCUCAUUUUAGUGUUUUAUUAGAAGCUAGGACCAAAU
rnacentral:lncRNA from 1 species